rnacentral:rRNA from 1 species
CACCGCGGUCAUCAAGAGACCCAAACUAAUCGUUCGCGGCGUAAAGAGUGGACUCAUGCCUAUCACAUUAAUUAAGGUCAAAACGUAGCUGAGCCGUCAUAAGCUUAAGACACACUUAAAACCACCCUAAAGAUGACCCUAAUCCAUAUGACCUAUUAAACUCCACGAAAGCCAGGGCC